AGGUUCGAAUCCUGCACGACCCACCA
rnacentral:piRNA from 3 species